rnacentral:rRNA from 1 species
UGAGGUUGGAGCGUUGUCCGGAUUAUUGGGCGUAAAGCGAGCGCAGGCGGUUCUUUAAGUCUGAUGUGAAAGCCCCCGGCUCAACCGGGGAGGGUCAUUGGAAACUGGAGAACUUGAGUGCAGAAGAGGAGAGUGGAAUUCCACGUGUAGCGGUGAAAUGCGUAGAUAUGUGGAGGAACACCAGUGGCGAAGGCGACUCUCUGGUCUGUAACUGACGCUGAGGCUCGAAAGCGUGGGGAGCAAACAGGAUUAGAUACCCUGGUAGUCCACGCCGUAAACGAUGAGUGCUAAGUGUUGGAGGGUUUCCGCCCUUCAGUGCUGCAGCUAACGCAUUAAGCACUCCGCCUGGGGAGUACGACCGCAAGGUUGA